GAUGAACGCUGGCGGCGUGCCUAAUACAUGCAAGUCGAGCGAACAGACGAGAGUGCUUGCACUCUCUGACGUUAGCGGCGGACGGGUGAGUAACACGUGGGUAACCUACCUAUAAGACUGGGAUAACUUCGGGAAACCGGAGCUAAUAGCGGAUAAUAUUUAGCUUCGCAUGAAGCAAUAGUGAAAGACGGUUCUGCUGUCACUUAGAGAUGGACCCGCGGUGUAUUAGCUAGUUGGAGAGGUAACGGCUCACCAAGGCAACGAUACAUAGCCGACCUGAGAGGGUGAUCGGCCACACUGGGACUGAGACACGGCCCAGACUCCUACGGGAGGCAGCAGUAGGGAAUCUUCCGCAAUGGACGAAAGUCUGACGGAGCAAUGCCGCGUGAGUGAAGAAGGUUUUCGGAUCGUAAAACUCUGUUGUAAGGGAAGAACAAGUACGUUAGUAACUGAACGUACCUUGACGGUACCUUACCAGAAAGCCACGGCUAACUACGUG
rnacentral:rRNA from 1 species